UACGUAGGGGGCAAGCGUUGUCCGGAUUUAUUGGGCGUAAAGAGCUCGUAGGCGGCUUGGUAAGUCUGGUGUGAAAUCUCCACGCUCAACGUGGAGGGGCCACCCGAUACUGCCAUGACUGGAGUCCGGUAGAGGAGUGUGGAAUUCCCGGUGUAGCGGUGAAAUGCGCAGAUAUCGGGAGGAACACCCGUAGCGAAGGCGGCACUCUGGGCCGGUACUGACGCUGAGGAGCGAAAGCGUGGGGAGCGAACAGG
rnacentral:rRNA from 1 species